rnacentral:rRNA from 1 species
AUUCUGGCUCAGGAUGAACGCUGGCGGCGUGCUUAACACAUGCAAGUCGAACGGGAUCCAUCAGGCUUUGCUUGGUGGUGAGAGUGGCGAACGGGUGAGUAAUGCGUGACCGACCUGCCCCAUACACCGGAAUAGCUCCUGGAAACGGGUGGUAAUGCCGGAUGCUCCGACUCCUCGCAUGGGGUGUCGGGAAAGAUUUCAUCGGUAUGGGAUGGGGUCGCGUCCUAUCAGGUAGUCGGCGGGGUAACGGCCCACCGAGCCUACGACGGGUAGCCGGCCUGAGAGGGCGACCGGCCACAUUGGGACUGAGAUACGGCCCAGACUCCUACGGGAGGCAGCAGUGGGGAAUAUUGCACAAUGGGCGCAAGCCUGAUGCAGCGACGCCGCGUGCGGGAUGACGGCCUUCGGGUUGUAAACCGCUUUUGAUCGGGAGCAAGCCUUCGGGUGAGUGUACCUUUCGAAUAAGCACCGGCUAACUACGUGCCAGCAGCCGCGGUAAUACGUAGGGUGCAAGCGUUAUCCGGAAUUAUUGGGCGUAAAGGGCUCGUAGGCGGUUCGUCGCGUCCGGUGUGAAAGUCCAUCGCUUAACGGUGGAUCUGCGCCGGGUACGGGCGGGCUGGAGUGCGGUAGGGGAGACUGGAAUUCCCGGUGUAACGGUGGAAUGUGUAGAUAUCGGGAAGAACACCAAUGGCGAAGGCAGGUCUCUGGGCCGUUACUGACGCUGAGGAGCGAAAGCGUGGGGAGCGAACAGGAUUAGAUACCCUGGUAGUCCACGCCGUAAACGGUGGAUGCUGGAUGUGGGGCCCGUUCCACGGGUUCCGUGUCGGAGCUAACGCGUUAAGCAUCCCGCCUGGGGAGUACGGCCGCAAGGCUAAAACUCAAAGAAAUUGACGGGGGCCCGCACAAGCGGCGGAGCAUGCGGAUUAAUUCGAUGCAACGCGAAGAACCUUACCUGGGCUUGACAUGUUCCCGACAGCCGUAGAGAUAUGGCCUCCCUUCGGGGCGGGUUCACAGGUGGUGCAUGGUCGUCGUCAGCUCGUGUCGUGAGAUGUUGGGUUAAGUCCCGCAACGAGCGCAACCCUUAUCUUUAAUUGCUAACAUUAAGUUGAGAACCUUAAAGAGACUGCCGGUGACAAAUCGGAGGAAGGUGGGGAUGACGUCAGAUCAUCAUGCCCCUUACGUCCAGGGCUUCACGCAUGCUACAAUGGCCGGUACAACGGGAUGCGACACGGCGACGUGGAGCGGAUCCCUGAAAACCGGUCUCAGUUCGGAUUGGAGUCUGCAACCCGACUCCAUGAAGGCGGAGUCGCUAGUAAUCGCGGAUCAGCAACGCCGCGGUGAAUGCGUUCCCGGGCCUUGUACACACCGCCCGUCAAGUCAUGAAAGUGGGUAGCACCCGAAGCCGGUGGCCUAACCCUUUGUGGAUGGAGCCGUCUAAGGUGAGACUCGUGAUUGGGACUAAGUCGUAACAAGGUAGCCGUACCGGAAGGUGCGGCUG